rnacentral:rRNA from 1 species
UACGUAGGGUGCAAGCGUUGUCCGGAAUUAUUGGGCGUAAAGAGCUCGUAGGCGGUCUGUCGCGUCGGCUGUGAAAUCCCGAGGCUCAACCUCGGGUCUGCAGUCGAUACGGGCAAACUGGAGUGUUGCAGGGGAGACUGGGAAUUCCUGGUGUAGCGGUGGAAUGCGCAGAUAUCAGGAGGAACACCGGUGGCGAAGGCGGGUCUCUGGGCCGAUACUGACGCUGAGGAGCGAAAGCGUGGGGAGCGAACGGG